AAUCGGUGCAUGAGAUUGCCAUGGAGAAGGCUGGGGAAGAUGUUUGGGCCCCUAUUAAAGCUACAUGGACAUAAAUAUUUAUGCAGGAGUACAGCUUGAGGUCUAUGUUUCAUCCCAAUAUUACCUGACUGGUUCUAUCUUCCAUAGUCCACAAAGAAAAGCAGAUGUGAACACAGGGUUUGUCCAAACUCCCUUUCCAAGCACCACUUCCAGCCUGCUGAGGAGGCACUUUUUUUUGUUUUGAAAGAGCUGAGCCAAGCCCCAGUAUUACAGAAUUGAAGCUCCUGAGCUUUAUGUCGGUAGAAGGUGUAAUAUCCAACCUGGCUUCCAAAGUUUCUCACCUAAUUUCUGCAUUUUGGUGGAGUCUUGGCUGUUACAGCUGAGUGCAAAAGUCUUGUAAAGCUCCCUGGGUACAUUAGAACAAGCUGAGCAGCAGUGAUGGAAGCACUGAGAUAGUUCACCUCCCCUGUGCUUGCAGGGCUGAUGUCUUGAAAAAACCCAGCUGGCAGGGAUAAUGAAAUCUGUUGCUGCAGUCAGAUCUACCUGUGCUAUUAGAUUUCACAUACAGAUUUUAUUUUUCUCCGAAGACUGCAUUAAUUGGAAUGAGCAUUCCUGUUUGUGUAAGGGAAGAAAAGGAAGAUGUCACCAUGCUGAAAAGCCUCACCUGACUUUUCUUGAUCAUACAGGACCUGAACGAAACAACUAAAAUGAAGUUGAUUCUUUGUGCUCAAUUCAGGCUGAGACUGUGCCUCCAGGGCAUUGCUGUGACUGUGAAACAACAAGGGGCAUCCUCCCUCCCUUGACUGUCCACACAGACCACCAAAACCAGCAUUUGCAAUGACUGUCUUGUGAUGGGAAGUGUUGGGGUUUAAGAUUCUGCUUCAGAAAUGAAUAGUUGUGAUCAGGAGAAAAGCUUCCUAUUCUGUGAAAGGCACAGGAGCCUGCUGGACAAAAUGGGAAACUCCCCCACAUUAGGAUAUUUCAAAAGCAAUGCUGCUAUGAUCCAUAAAUGAGAGAACGUGCACAGAAAAUGGGUUGCAGGUCAGAAAAAUAGAAUGUGAAAGGAAGGCAGACAGGAACAAAAAAGGAACCUGGACUUCUGCUGACUAAACCAAAUAUCAAACAUACACAUAACCUAUAGACACAUAAAAAUCUGUUUAUACAUCAGAAUGGAGAAUGUGAAUUCUGCUGUUUAUCUUGAAAAAGAACAACAGCAGCAGUGCAGGUUUGUCCACUCUUCAGCACCAGAAGUGGUCACCAUUAAUCAUUUGGCAGAAAUGAAGUACAAGGAGGUGACCCUCACAGCCCACGGAUACACAGAAAUCUCCUACCUGGAAAACAAUCAAAAAUCAGACUGGUAAUGUUCAGAAAUACAAAACCAGUGGUCCUGGGAAAAAUAAAAUAAGUCACAGGUAUAUUUCACUUUAUUUAUUUGUUCUUCAUUUUGAUAGCACAUUUCAAAUUACACUUGGUAAUGAGAUCUUACAAAUCUUUCCCCUGCUCUGGGACAAAAAGCAAAAACCACUCAUGCAUAAGGUAUUGAAUGCAUUCACAUCAAGUAUAUUUUAUGUUGGGCUUUUGAACAUCAUAAAUAUGAGAACAUUAAACCAGCUGGUUUUAGAUUUUUUUUUUUAACAAUAUCAUUGUUACAGACCGUAGCACCUUGAAAAGUUUAACUCAAGUUUAUUUGCUUCCAAUAUUUUAUUUACAGUUUCGUAAGAGAUCAAAAAAUACAGAGGCCCAAAUACUACAAAACAAUGUUUUAAAGAUGAAGUAAUUCUAUUUACUUUGUAAGUGUUAAAACUCACAAUGGUCUUUCUGCUUUGACUGGGAAUGCAGUUCUGAAAUUACUUAGAUGAAGAUUAGGAAAUUCAACUUAUUUGUGAUUUUUAUGCAUCAUGAAACCUCUUGAAGGAGGUCUGGGCUUCCAGAAAUGUUGAACACCCAUCCUUUAAGAGGUUCUCAGCUAGAGAGACAAAAUCUCCAUCUAUUCCUGCAAAUAUUAGCCAAAAUACUGAGGAACUCACUAAUAUAGUUCUCAGGUCUAUGAAAGCAGGAUAAGAAUGACUAUAGAUUCUGUUACACAAGUUGAUUUUGCCUUUUUUUUUUAAAGCUGUCAUCUGAAUGCUUCAAUAGCCUUCAGGAACAAGAUAUUUUUGCAAUAUCUUUAUCUCUAUCUAGGGACAGAGUCUAAUUGUAGAAGGGGAAGAAAAGCUACCUAUAAAAGCCAAGAUCAUGAUAAGAAAACAAAUUUAUUACAAGUCUUCUCUGAUAAGGCUCUACCAUGCACAGGUGAAAUAUUGCUACAAACACUUGCUCUGAUCCUACAUCGUGCCUUGUGAAAUAACCAAGGGAUGAAGGUGCAAGAUGCACCCAAGGAAACACCUGGGGAUGUACAAAAACACAGGAACAAACCCAGGUGUUGUAACAUUGAUUAAUCUUAAUCCCUUGCUACCAGGCAUCUGCUUUCUGUAACCCUGAGUCAGUUCCUAGGAGCUUGUAGCAACACAGCUGGAAACAAUCCUAAACUUUCAAUUUGGGGCAUGGGGACUGCGUGCAAAGGAGACCAAAGCACGGGAGGAGGAAAGCUGGGCUGGGACUCACACUCAGUUCAAGGUUUGCAUUGAAUUUGAUCAGUGCCUUGUCUUUUCAGAGCUGGAACUCAGACCAUCUUGUAGGAUCCCUCAGGUAUCUCUGCAGCUCUCAGGUAUUAAACCACAUGGCUGCAAGAUCAAAGUAGUCCAGAUGCUUUGACAGAAGUAGUUAAUAGUGUGCAUCACAUCCACGUGGUGCUGAGAUCUCAGCCAUUGCACCAGGCUGCUGACAGCUUCGUAAACACAUUCACUCCAGUUAUAAACUUAUUUCUUGUGCCAAGACUUCAGUGUGCUUCAGUGCAUGAAGGAAAUUUACAGCUGACUCCAUGAAUAUAUGUAUAUAUAUAUAUAUUCCAGCUCUCCCUUUCAUUUCAGUUAAAAAAAAAACCAGCAGCAAUUAUAUUUUAAAUUCAUAACAGGUAUUUAUAACUUAGCUAUAAACAAAUGCUAAAGCUUUGCAGAAAGCUCUCAGGAAAACUAAUUAUUUUAAGAUUUUUAGGAAUAUUAACCAUUUUCUUCCAGUACCACAGUUAGACUAUGAUAUAUAAUCAUAGCAUAUCUACGUAUUAUACUAAUGACAGUAAGUAGAUAUAAAUUGUAUUUUUUCUGACAUGGGUUUACUCUUUAAGCAGGAAAUACAAGAAGAAGCCUGUUGUUAUAACUCAGUAUAGUGAUUGUUUUUUUUACUGUUUUACUCAUAGUUUAAGGUCAGGUAAAUGUAGCUGUCUCCAUAUAAAGGGAAAGGACUCUGGGGCAGAUUAGGAACAUGUCUUUUGAAUAGAUACUACUUUGGUUGCUGUCUGUUUAAAGCAUACAAUCUAUGAAGUUGUGUUUAUGGGGAAAAGGAGGAAAGGGUUUAAAUCCAGAUAAAAAGUUUGAAUUCCUCUGCAGUGUUAAUUUGGUUUCUUGAUCAAAAUUUAUUCUAAUUCAGAUUGUCACUUGGUUGCUCUAAUUCCACCAAGUCUUUGGAAAUGCUAAAUGGAAGGAGAAUCUGGGCCACUGUUGAAAAAGCUUUGCCUUGUGAUCUCCAUGUGAAUCAUGCUGG